GAACGGGUGAGUAAUACAUAAAUAAUCUACCAUAAUGACUGGGAUAACCAAUGGAAACGCUGGCUAAUACCGGAUAGGUAAAACGAGGGCAUCUUUGUUUUAUUAAAGUAGGACUACUACACAAUAUGAUGAGUUUAUGGCGCAUUAGCUAGUUGGUGAGGUAACGGCUCACCAAGGCGAUGAUGCGUAGCCGACCUGAGAGGGUGACCGGCCACACUGGGACUGAGACACGGCCCAGACUCCUACGGGAGGCAGCAGUAGGGAAUUUUCGGCAAUGGGCGCAAGCCUGACCGAGCAACGCCGCGUGAGUGAAGAAGGCCUUCGGGUUGUAAAGCUCUGUUGUAAGGGAAGAACACUUUUUAGAGGAAAUGCUAGAGAGCUGACGGUACCUUACCAGAAAGCCACGGCUAACUACGUGCUAGCAGCCGCGGUAAUACGUAGGUGGCGAGCGUUAUCCGGAAUUAUUGGGCGUAAAGGGCGCGUAGGCGGUUUAUUAAGCCUGUGGUGAAAGUGCGGGGCUCAACCCCGUAUGGCCACAGAAACUGAUAGACUAGAGUACAGGAGAGGGCAGUGGAAUUCCACGUGUAGCGGUAAAAUGCGUAGAUAUAUGGAGGAACACCGGUGGCGAAGGCGGCUGCCUGGCCUGUAACUGACGCUGAGGCACGAAAGCGUGGGGAGCAAAUAGGAUUAGAUACCCUAGUAGUCCACGCUGUAAACGAUGAUUACUAAGUGUUGGAGAAAUUCAGUGCUGCAGUUAACGCAAUAAGUAAUCCG
rnacentral:rRNA from 1 species